UGGGGGAUAUUGCACAAUGGGCGAAAGCCUGAUGCAGCGACGCCGCGUGGGGGAUGAAGGCUUUCGGGUUGUAAACCUCUUUCGCUAUCGAACAAGGCCCGCUUAGGGUGGGUUGAGGGUAGGUGGAGAAGAAGCGCCGGCUAACUACGUGCCAGCAGCCGCGGUAAUACGUAGGGCGCGAGCGUUGUCCGGAAUUAUUGGGCGUAAAGGGCUUGUAGGCGGCUUGUUGCGCCUGCUGUGAAAACGCGGGGCUUAACUUCGCGCGUGCAGUGGGUAGGGGCAGGCUUGAGUGUGGUAGGGGUGACUGGAAUUCCAGGUGUAGCGGUGGAAUGCGCAGAUAUCUGGAGGAACACCGAUGGCGAAGGCAGGUCACUGGGCCAUUACUGACGCUGAGGAGCGAAAGCAUGGGUAGCGAACAGG
rnacentral:rRNA from 1 species